rnacentral:snRNA from 1 species
GUUGCUUCUCCGCCUUUUGGCUAAGAUCAUGUGUAGUAUCAGUUCUUACCAGUUUAACAGCUGAUGCCUUUUUCUGGGGGGUUGGACUAGAUGAACUUUAAAGGUGCCUUUCAACCCAAACUAUU